UACGGAGGGUGCAAGCGUUAUCCGGAUUCACUGGGUUAAAGGGUGCGUAGGUGGAGUGGUAAGUCAGUGGUGAAAUCUCCAAGCUUAACUUGGAAACUGCCGUUGAUACUAUCAUUCUUGAAUAUCGUGGAGGUAAGCGGAAUAUGUCAUGUAGCGGUGAAAUGCUUAGAUAUGACAUAGAACACCGAUUGCGAAGGCAGCUUGCUACACGAUCAUUGACACUGAGGCACGAAAGCGUGGGAUCAAACAGGA
rnacentral:rRNA from 1 species